rnacentral:rRNA from 1 species
UACGUAGGGGGCAAGCGUUGUCCGGAAUCAUUGGGCGUAAAGAGCGUGUAGGCGGUUCAGUAAGUCUGCUGUGAAAGUCCCAGGCUCAACCUUGGGAUGCCGGUGGAUACUGCUGAGCUAGAGUACGGAAGAGGCGAGUGGAAUUCCCGGUGUAGCGGUGAAAUGCGCAGAUAUCGGGAGGAACACCUAUUGCGAAGGCAGCUCGCUGGGACGGCACUGACGCUGAGACGCGAAAGCGUGGGGAGCAAACAGG